UACGUAGGUGGCAAGCGUUGUCCGGAUUUACUGGGCGUAAAGAGCGCGCAGGCGGUCGUGCAAGUCGCGUGUGAAAGCCCCCGGCUCAACUGGGGAGGGUCACGCGAUACUGCUCGACUCGAAGGCAGGAGAGGGAAGUGGAAUUCCCGGUGUAGUGGUGAAAUGCGUAGAUAUCGGGAGGAACACCUGUGGCGAAAGCGGCUCACUGGACCACAACUGACGCUGAGGCGCGAAAGCUAGGGGAGCAAACAGG
rnacentral:rRNA from 1 species